rnacentral:rRNA from 15 species
AACUUUCAACAACGGAUCUCUUGGUUCUGGCAUCGAUGAAGAACGCAGCGAAAUGCGAUAAGUAGUGUGAAUUGCAGAAUUCAGUGAAUCAUCGAAUCUUUGAACGCACAUUGCGCCCUUUGGUAUUCCAAAGGGCAUGCCUGUUCGAGCGUCAUUUGU